UACGAAGGGGGCUAGCGUUGCUCGGAAUCACUGGGCGUAAAGGGUGCGUAGGCGGGUCUUUAAGUCAGGGGUGAAAUCCUGGAGCUCAACUCCAGAACUGCCUUUGAUACUGAAGAUCUUGAGUUCGGGAGAGGGUAGUGGAAUUCCCGGUGUAGUGGUGAAAUGCGUAGAUAUCGGGAGGAACACCAGUGGCGAAGGCGACUACCUGGCCUGUUCUUGACGCUGAGGCGCGAAAGCUAGGGGAGCAAACGGG
rnacentral:rRNA from 1 species